rnacentral:rRNA from 1 species
UACAGAUGUCUCAAGCGUUGUUCGGAUUCAUUGGGCGUAAAGGGUGCGUAGGCGGCGCGGUAAGUCGGGUGUGAAAUCUUGGAGCUUAACUCCGAAACUGCAUUCGAUACUGCCGUGCUUGAGGACUGGAGAGGAGACUGGAAUUUACGGUGUAGCGGUGAAAUGCGUAGAUAUCGUAAGGAAGACCAGUGGCGAAGGCGGGUCUCUGGACAGUUCCUGACGCUGAGGAGCGAAAGCGUGGGGAGCGAACAGG